rnacentral:rRNA from 1 species
CCUACGGGUGGCAGCAGUGAGGAAUAUUGGUCAAUUGACGAGAGUCUGAACCAGCCAAGUAGCGUGAAGGCUGACUGCCCUAUGGGUUGUAAACUUCUUUUAUAUGGGAAUAAAAUGUUCCACGUGUGGGAUUUUGUAUGUACCAUAUGAAUAAGGAUCGGCUAACUCCGUGCCAGCAGCCGCGGUAAUACGGAGGAUCCGAUCGUUAUCCGGAUUUAUUGGGUUUAAAGGGAGCGUAGGUGGAUUGUUAAGUCAGUUGUGAAAGUUUGCGGCUCAACCGUAAAAUUGCAGUUGAAACUGGCAGUCUUGAGGACAGUAGAGGUGGGCGGAAUUCGUGGUGUAGCGGUGAAAUGCUUAGAUAUCACGAAGAACUCCGAUUGCGAAGGCAGUUCACUGGACUGCAACUGACACUGAGGCUCGAAAGUGUGGGUAUCAAACAGGAUUAGAUACCCUAGUAGUC